rnacentral:rRNA from 1 species
AGCAAACGCUGGCGGCAGGCUUAACACAUGCAAGUCGAGCGGGCAUCCUCGUGGUGUCAGCGGCAGACGGGUGGGUAAUACGUAGGAAUCUGCCCUAGAGUGGGGGAUAACCUGUCGAAAGACGGGCUAAUACCGCAUAAUCUCUAUGGAGCAAAGGUGUCUUGUAGCAAUACAAGGUUUCGCUCUAGGAUGAGCCUACGUCGGAUUAGCUAGUUGGUAGGGUAAUGGCCUACCAAGGCAACGAUCCGUAGCUGGUCUGAGAGGACGAUCAGCCACACUGGAACUGAGACACGGUCCAGACUCCUCCGGGAGGCAGCAGUGGGGAAUAUUGGACAAUGGGGGAAACCCUGAUCCAGCAAUGCCGCGUGUGCGAUGAAGGCCUGCGGGUUGUAAAGCACUUUCGGUGGGGAAGAAAUACUCAAAGAUAAUACCUUUGAGUGCUGACGUUACCCAUAGAAGAAGCACCGGCAAACUCUGUGCCAGCCGCCGCCGUAA